rnacentral:rRNA from 1 species
AACGAACGCUGGCGGCAUGCCUAACACAUGCAAGUCGAACGGGACCGUCCGGUUUUGUGGCGCAGGGGUGCGUGACGCGUGGGAACCUGCCCUUAGGUUCGGAAUAACUCCCCGAAAGGGGUGCUAAUACCGGAUGAUGUCAUCGGACCAAAGAUCUAUCGCUUCUGGAUGGGCCCGCGUUGGAUUAGCUAGUUGGUAGGGUAAAAGCCUACCAAGGGGGCGAGCCAGAGCUGGUCGGUGAGGAUGCACAGCCACACUGGGACUGGGACACGGCCCAGACGCGUACGGGAGGCAGGAGUGGGGAAUAAUGGACAGUGGGCGAAAGCCUGAUCCAGCACUGCCGGGUGAGUGAUGAAGGCGUUAGGGUUGUAAAGCUCUUUUACCCGGGAUGAUAAUGAGGGAACCGGGAGAAUAGGCUCGGGCUAACACCGU